UUGAGCUUGCUACUACUACUUCUUUCCUUAAACUGAAAGUAUUAUACUCUGGGAACCUUUUAGAGAUCAUAUGCUCAAACUGCACCCUCAAGCCUCCUGUGAGCCCCCCGCAUUACCUCAGACAGCAGAGGGAGGAAAUGCUGGCAUUGAGCUGCUACGUGGAGGGGUUAUGUGACACUAUCUAGAGUAUAUCGCCCAGGAGUAUAUGAAGGCAUCAUUAUCCAGAAGAUGGUGGUCAGCUGGUCUCUCUCCCCCUGGAAGGUCAAACAAUAGGAGAUAAUGUUUGUAAGGCCAAGGAACAUCAGGAUCCAGUUCUCAAAAAGUAUAUAUGUGUGAAAUCCAAAGGGCUCAUCAGGAUCUUUUUGGACUCCAGUUCUGUCAUCCAUUUCCUCAACUUCAUGUCAUUUACAAAUUUGACAAACGUGCCAUCUUUGCUUUCUUGAGUCAUUGAUAAAUGUGCCUCUCCAGAGUUAAGGACAGAACUUUAUGACCCUCUACUAGAUAUCCCUCCGCAGUGAAAGUGAUCCAUUCAUCAGUCAUUUUAUCAAUUCUGAAAUCACAUAACUUCUAUCCUCAUCCAAAUCAGAUUUCCUUUUUCUCACUCAGCAUUUCAUGAGAGACUUUGGCCAAGGACCACAGAAAGCAGAAACAAUAGUACAGUAUAUAUUGGUAUACUCAGGAGCACUCUUUGUGUGGUAAGAAAGAACUAGAAACAGAAUACGUGUUUAUUGAAUAAGAAAUGGCUGAAAAAAAUUGGAAAAUUUUUGAAAGAUCAAUGUAAUUGAAUGUUAUAGAGUGUGAAAUGAUGCAUAGGAAGAAUUCAAAGAAACAGGAAGAUGUAUUUGAAAUUGGUGGAAAAUGAAGAGAACCAGGAGAACAAAUAUAUAUGACUGCAGAAAUACAGUAAGUUUAAAAAAUAUAUAUAUAUAAAUAGAUCCUUAAAAGGAAGUUGAACUCCAGUAGUGGAAAAAAAGGAAGGUUCUAGAGAUGAGAUAAUGAAAUACAUUUCCCUCAGGGAACAGAUAUGUUGAUCUGUCAGGACAGAAUGUUACAUACAUUUUUAGCACAAUGUCUAUGUCAAUAUAUUUGUUUAAUUCUUUCUGUAUGUCACAGGAUAUGAUUUAGUUUGAAGGGCUUUAUGGGAAAUUGUAAUAUAAAGACA